rnacentral:ncRNA from 1 species
GCCCACAAGUGGAGUCAGGGGACGAAAGUCCGGGCUUAGUGAUCGGCGGUUGCUGAAAUGAAAGGCCGUCGCUCAACGAUAAAAAGCUACCCUGGGGAUAAAAAGCUGAUCUCCCCAAGAGUUCACAUCGACGGGGAGGUUUGGCACCUCGAUGUCGGCUCAUCGCAUCCUGAGCUGAAGUCGGUUCCAGGGUUGGGCUGUUCGCCAUUAAAGCGGUACGCGAGCUGGGUUCAGAACGUCGUGAGACAGUUCGGUCCCUAUCUGUCGUGGGCGUAGGAAAGUUUGAGAAGAUCUGUCCUCAGUACGAGAGGACCGGGAUGGACAUAUCAAUGGUGCACCAGUUGUCACGCCAGUGGCACAGCUGGGUAGCUAAAUAUGGAAGGGAUAAACGCUGAAGGCAUCUAAGUGUGAAACCCACUUCAAGAUGAGACUUCCCAUUACGCAAGUAGGUAAGACCCCUUAAAGACGAUAAGGUUGAUAGGUCAGGAGUGUAAGCAUGGUGACAUGUUCAGCGGACUGAUACUAAUAGGUCGAGGACUUAACCUA